GAUGAAGAACGUAGCGAAAUGCGAUAAGUAAUGUGAAUUGCAGAAUUCAGUGAAUCAUCGAAUCUUUGAACGCACAUUGCGCCCGCCAGUAUUCUGGCGGGCAUGCCUGUUCGAGCGUCAUUACAACCCUCAGGCCCCCGGGCCUGGCGUUGGGGAUCGGCACAAGCCCCCUGUGGGCACACGCCGUCCCUCAAAUACAGUGGCGGUCCCGCCGCAGCUUCCAUUGCGUAGUAGCUAACACCUCGCAACUGGAGAGCGGCGCGGCCAUGCCGUAAAACACCCAACUUCUGAAUGUUGACCUCGAAUCAGGUAGGAAUACCCGCUGAACUUAAGCAUAUCAAUAAGCGGAGGA
rnacentral:misc_RNA from 1 species